rnacentral:tRNA from 1 species
ACUGCUUUGGCAGAAAAGUGCAAUAAAUUUAGAAUUUAUUUAGAUAGUUAAUACUAUAUGCGGUA